rnacentral:rRNA from 1 species
AGUGAACGCUGGCGGUAGGCCUAACACAUGCAAGUCGAACGGCAGCACAGUAAGAGCUUGCUCUUACGGGUGGCGAGUGGCGGACGGGUGAGGAAUACAUCGGAAUCUACUUUUUCGUGGGGGAUAACGUAGGGAAACUUACGCUAAUACCGCAUACGACCUACGGGUGAAAGCAGGGGAUCUUCGGACCUUGCGCGAUUGAAUGAGCCGAUGUCGGAUUAGCUAGUUGGCGGGGUAAAGGCCCACCAAGGCGACGAUCCGUAGCUGGUCUGAGAGGAUGAUCAGCCACACUGGAACUGGGACACGGUCCAGACUCCUACGGGAGGCAGCAGUGGGGAAUAUUGGGCAAUGGGCGGAAGCCUGAUCCAGCCAUACCGCGUGGGUGAAGAAGGCCUUCGGGUUGUAAAGCCCUUUUUGUUGGGAAAGAAAAGCAGCAGGUUAAUACCCCGCUGUUCUGACGGUACCCAAAGAAUAAGCACCGGCUAACUUCGUG